rnacentral:rRNA from 1 species
GAUGAACGCUGGCGGCGUGCCUAAUACAUGCAAGUCGAGCGAACAGACGAGGAGCUUGCUCCUCUGACGUUAGCGGCGGACGGGUGAGUAACACGUGGAUAACCUACCUAUAAGACUGGGAUAACUUCGGGAAACCGGAGCUAAUACCGGAUAAUAUAUUGAACCGCAUGGUUCAAUAGUGAAAGACGGUUUUGCUGUCACUUAUAGAUGGAUCCGCGCCGCAUUAGCUAGUUGGUAAGGUAACGGCUUACCAAGGCAACGAUGCGUAGCCGACCUGAGAGGGUGAUCGGCCACACUGAACUGAGACACGGUCCAGACUCCUACGGGAGGCAGCAGUAGGGAAUCUUCCGCAAUGGGCGAAAGCCUGACGGAGCAACGCCGCGUGAGUGAUGAAGGUCUUCGGAUCGUAAAACUCUGUUAUUAGGGAAGAACAAAUGUGUAAGUAACCAUGCACGUCUUGACGGUACCUAAUCAGAAAGCCACGGCUAACUACGUG